rnacentral:tRNA from 1 species
GAGGGUACGGCUCAGUGGGAGAGCACAUGCUUACCAUGCACGAGGUACUAGGUUCAAUCCCCAGUACCUCUA